UUAUCGAGCCAAACCGGAGAGAGAAACAAACAUGACUCUCCCUUGUUCAAAAUCACAAGUGUUAAUGACGAAUUUCGAUUCAUCACUCUCUUUCUCUGUCGGUAUUGUUUUCAAUCCGAGAGUAAAACCCUCGCAAUCUUCCCUCUUAGAUCUAUCCACCAAGCUAUGAUCUACCUCUUGCCAAAAAAAAAAGCCAGCUAAGAUCUACCCACUGAGGUAUCUCAAUCCAUUUCUGCAAAUCUGAUGGUACAUCAGUCACCGACACGUCUCCGUCUCCUCCAAAUCUGAUGCCACUGAGGAUUUGUUUGAGAUUUUUAUGGGUUGACUCUCCUCUGCAGCCGUCGAUCCGCAACUCUUUCUCUGCGGCUUCUCACAAUUGGGUCACCAAUUCAGUUCUCUCUAUAUAUAUGUUGCAAUACUAGUGGAGAUUGAGGUUGCUUUAAUUGAAAUUAAAAUUCUAAUAUGUUGUUCAUGUACUGUGGACUCGAGUACAGUUGCAGUGGCAAUUGAAACUCUUAAGAAUCUUGAUUGAUUAUCUGUUUGAUUAUCAGGUGGUGCUAUGACUUUUGUUAGAAGAAUUCUUCAACCCAGUAAUUUGCUUUCAUACUUAAGUACGAGCUGCUGAAGUUAUUGUGAUUCAAACUAUGAGAUGUGAAAAUGCUCGUUGGGACUUGCUGCUAAAUUUGGCUCAGCAAGUGUAGCUGUUCCAGGAUAUCAAGAAGGCGCUAUUAAGACAAUUGCAGCA